rnacentral:lncRNA from 1 species
AAGAAGCCAAAUGGACAGCACCCAUAACCACAAACACGAUGGACAAGGAUCAAAGAAGAAAAUAAAAUGGGAAAAACCAGAAGGAAAAACGUCAGAAGGAAAUUGCAAGGAAAAAGAAAAAGAACGUUGGAAAUAAGAGAGGAAUUUUGGGAAACAAAACAAAAUUAAAAUUAAAAUUCAAAAAAAAUUAUCUAAACUCCCCCACUACCCCACUAACAACCAAAUCCCACAAAAUCCAACACAUUAAUCAUCAUCCAACAACCAAAGAAUUUCAAUCACUAAACCUCUACUACAC